AGAGUUUGAUCAUGGCUCAGAAUCAACGCUGGCGGCGUGCCUAACACAUGCAAGUCGAGCGGGAAAGGGGGCUUCGGCCCCUGAGUAUAGCGGCGGACGGGUGAGUAACACGUGGGUAAUUUGCCCUUGGGUGUCGGAAUAACUCAGGGAAACUUGAGCUAAUACCGCAUGAUAUCCCCUUUCAUAAGGAAGGGGAUCAAAGCUGGGGACCCUUCGGGGCCUGGCGCCUGAGGAUAAGCCCGCGCCCGAUUAGCUAGUUGGUGGGGUAACGGCCCACCAAGGCAACGAUCGGUAGCCGGCCUGAGAGGGCGGACGGCCACACUGGGACUGAGACACGGCCCAGACUCCUACGGGAGGCAGCAGUGGGGAAUUUUUGUCAAUGGGGGAAACCCUGAACAAGCAACGCCGCGUGAAGGACGAAGACCUUCGGGUUGUAAACUUCUGUCGGAAGGGACGAAAGCUGUCGAGGUUAAUACCCUCGGCUGUUGACGGUACCUUACGAGGAAGCCCCGGCUAACUCCGUGCCAGCAGCCGCGGUAAUACGGGGGGGGCAAGCGUUGUUCGGAAUUACUGGGCGUAAAGGGCGCGUAGGCGGGCGGGCAAGUCUUUCGUGAAAGCCCACGGCUCAACCGUGGAAUUGCGGGAGAUACUGCUCGUCUUGAGUCCGGGAGAGGAGUGUGGAAUUCCCAGUGUAGCGGUGAAAUGCGUAGAUAUUGGGAGGAACACCGGUGGCGAAGGCGGCACUCUGGACCGGUACUGACGCUGAGGCGCGAAAGCUAGGGGAGCAAACGGGAUUAGAUACCCUAGUAGUCC
rnacentral:rRNA from 1 species